rnacentral:rRNA from 1 species
AGAGUUUGAUCCUGGCUCAGGACAAACGCUGGCGGCGUGCGUAACACAUGCAAGUCGGACGAGGGGGAGGGUCUUUUCGGAGAGUCUUUUCCGAGUGGCGGACGGGUGCGUAACACGUGGAUAACCUGCCCUGAUGUGGGGGAUACCCUGUAGAAAUACGGGCUAAUACCGCAUGUGGUCGCUUUUGGGGAGCUAGAAGC